rnacentral:rRNA from 1 species
CCUACGGGAGACAGCAGUGAGGAAUAUUGGUCAAUGGGCUUAAGCCUGAACCAGCCAAGUCGCGUGAGGGACGACUGCCCUAUGGGUUGUAAACCUCUUUUGUCAGGGAGCAACGUCGGCUACGUGUAGCCGGACUGAGAGUCCCUGAAGAAAACGCAUCGGCUAACUCCGUGACAGCCGCCGCGGUAAUACGGAGGAUGCGAGCGUUCUCCGGAUUUAGUGGGUUUAAGGGGUGCGUAGGCGGAAUGCCAAGUCAGCGGUAAAAUCGCGGGGCUCAGCGUCGCACCGCCGUUGAUACUGGCGUUCUUGAGUGGGCUAGAAGUAUGCGGAAUGCGUGGUGUAGCGGUGAAAUGCAUAGAUAUCACGCAGAACUCCGAUUGCGAAGGCAGCAUACCGGCGCCCAACUGACGCUGAUGCACGAAAGCGUGGGUAUCGAACAGGAUUAGAUACCCCAGUAGUC